GGUCACAGCUCAGUGGUGGAGCGCCCGUCUCGCACAUGCAAGGCCCUGGGUUCAAUCCUCAGCACCA
rnacentral:tRNA from 1 species